GUGCUCACUUCAGUGGCACAAAUACUAAAACUGAAGACACAGAAGAGACUAACAUGGUCCUUGCUCAAGUAUGACAUGGAAAUUUGUAAAAUGUCCAUAUAUUUU
ensembl:snRNA U6 U6 spliceosomal RNA